rnacentral:rRNA from 1 species
GUCUACGGCCAUACCACCCUGAACGCGCCCGAUCUCGUCUGAUCUCGGAAGCUAAGCAGGGUCGGGCCUGGUUAGUACUUGGAUGGGAGAAAUAAAUAGUCUGUUGUUU